UCCCUCACCUCCUCCAGUCCUCCUGUCUUCUUCUUCUUCCUUUCAAGGCUUCAACUGCUUCACUGUCACAACCACACAGAGAAAAGAAAACCCUUCUCUAUCUGUCACGGUCGCAAAUGAGAAAUUAGGGAUCAACUACUCUCCGGAAAAACCCAAUUCAUGGCGACUUCUCUACUUUUGCCUGAGCUCAUUUUUCUCUCUCCGCAAACCUUUCCCAAGCGCCGGCUUUGUCUCUCUGGGCAUUCUCCGUGUAGAAAUCGGCGGAAAAGCCUUUCUGUUCGGACUCCAAUUAGGGCUGUGAAUGAGGAAGGUGUGGCAGUGGAAGAGAGGGAAAGGCGAUUGGUCAAGGAAUUGAAUGGGAAUGGAGCUGCUAGUGGUUCGAGGUAUGGCGCGUACUCGAAUGGCGGCGUGGGUGUGUCCGAGAGUGAGAAUGGGAGCUUGGUGAAGUAUGUCAACGGGAAUGGUGUGGCGGCGGCGGCGGCGGAGGUGGUGCUGGAAGUUGAAGAUCCUGUGGCGAAGGAGGCGGGGAGGAAGAGAAGGGUAGAGGAGAUUGGGAAAGAAGACGCCUGGUUCAAGCAAGCUGGGGGAGAUUCCGUUGAGGUUUCUGUUGUACCUGGUGGCCGUUGGAAUAGAUUCAAAACCUACUCAACAAUACAGAGGACCUUGGAAAUAUGGGGAUCUGUUCUAACAUUUCUCUUUAAGGCUUGGUUGAACAAUCAAAAAUUCUCUUAUCGAGGAGGAAUGACAGAAGAGAAGAAAGCUUUAAGACGGAAGGCCCUCGCCAAGUGGCUUAAAGAGACUAUCUUGAGAUUAGGUCCUACAUUCAUCAAAAUUGGGCAGCAGUUCUCCACAAGGGUGGACAUUCUUGCUCAAGAAUAUGUUGAUCAGUUGUCAGAACUUCAGGAUCAAGUUCCUCCCUUCCCAUCAGAGACUGCUGUGUCCAUAGUUGAAGAGGAGCUUGGAGUUCCUGUGAAUGAUGUCUUUGAUCGGUUUGACUACGAACCAAUAGCUGCUGCAAGUCUCGGUCAGGUUCACCGUGCGAGAUUAAAGGGACAGGAUGUUGUUGUUAAAGUACAAAGGCCUGGUCUCAAGGGCCUUUUUGAUAUUGAUCUUAAAAACCUGAGGGUAAUUGCAGAAUACCUUCAAAAAGUUGACCCAAAGUCAGACGGUGCAAAGAGGGAUUGGGUGGCUAUCUAUGAUGAGUGUGCUAGUGUCUUAUAUCAGGAGAUUGAUUACACCAAGGAAGCUGCAAAUGCAGAACUAUUUGCAAGUAACUUCAAAAAUAUGGAAUAUGUGAAAGUUCCAUCAAUCUUUUGGGAGUAUACGACACCACAGGUUCUGACAAUGGAGUAUGUCCCAGGGAUCAAGAUAAACAAGAUACAAGCUUUGGAUCAGCUGGGUGUUGAUCGCCAAAGGUUGGGUCGAUAUGCUGUUGAAUCAUACUUGGAACAAAUUCUGUCUCAUGGUUUUUUUCACGCUGAUCCUCACCCUGGAAAUAUUGCUGUUGAUGAUGUCAAUGGUGGAAGGUUGAUCUUUUAUGAUUUUGGAAUGAUGGGGAGUAUUAGUCAAAAUAUCAGAGAAGGUUUGCUGGAAACAUUCUAUGGUGUUUAUGAGAAGAAUCCUGAUAAGGUCCUUCAGGCAAUGAUUCAAAUGGGUGUUCUUGUGCCUACUGGAGAUAUGACUGCUGUCAGACGAACAGCACAGUUCUUCCUUAACAGUUUUGAAGAGCGUCUUGCUGCACAAAGAAAAGAAAGAGAGAUUGCUGCAGCAGAGCUUGGUUUUAAAAAGCCAUUGAGCAAGGAGGAAAGAGUAAUGAAAAAGAAACAAAGGCUGGCUGCAAUUGGGGAAGAUUUAUUAGCCAUUGCAGCAGAUCAACCCUUUCGAUUUCCUGCUACAUUCACAUUUGUUGUUAGAGCAUUUUCAGUUUUGGAUGGCAUUGGGAAGGGCCUUGACCCUAGAUUUGAUAUUACUGAGAUUGCCAAACCCUAUGCACUGGAGUUGCUAAGGUUUCGGGAAGCAGGAGUUGAAGUUAUCUUAAAGGACUUUAGAAAGCGAUGGGACAGACAGUCCCAGGCAUUCUACAACUUAUUCAGACAGGCUGACAGAGUUGAAAGGCUUGCAGAAAUUAUCCAACGAUUGGAGCAAGGUGAUCUCAAACUACGAGUUCGAACUUUGGAGUCUGAGAGGGCAUUCCAGCGUGUUGCAGCAGUUCAGAGGACAGUAGGAAAUGCAGUAGCUGCUGGGAGCCUAAUAAACCUUGCCACAAUUUUCUAUUUUAAUUCCGUUCGAGUGCCUGCAAUUGUUGCAUAUGUCUUCUGCGCAUUUUUUGGCUUUCAAGUUCUAUUUGGUAUUAUAAAAGUCAGAAAACUAGAUGAACGGGAGAGGUUGAUAACAGGAACUGCUUAAACAACUGGUAAAGAAGUGGAGAUACAUAAUGUGCGAGACUUGUUGAUAUUUAAAGCAUGGAAUGGAGUACCUUCCUUCUUAGAAGUACAUUUCCUUGGUUGGGCACAAUGCAGAUCUAGAGUGGAGAUUCAGCUCAUAUCAAGCUCUCUAACUUCCCAAGUCAUCAGCUGCAAUAAUCGGAAAAAGGAAAGAGCUUAAAAGAGCACUUUCAUUCAAGGUUCUUUUACCAUCAAUAUGAGCUAAAAGUUCCAACUCAUUGAUUUAUGAUAAGAAAUUCUUAAGGCUGAACACUUCAAAUGCUUACUUAUAGUGAGAGUAGAACUUGUAAUUAGGUUAGCUAAAGCCACUUGGUUGUAAUUUUGAGUUGCCACAAGAAUGUCCCCAAAAGGACUCGAAGUCUCUUGCCGUGGUGUCUUUAUUGGCAGGCUGAUGUCCAUAAAUGAUAGCUUUCAACGUCAAGUAGGAGUUGCAUGUAUAAAAAAUUCUAUGUUAGAUGUUGGCACUGUUACCUCCCAUCUUAUUUGAGUGGAUGGGAUGUCCAGUAGUGGUAUAUAAUUUUGUAGGAUGAAUAAAUUUAUUCAAUAAGAUUUGCUCCCUUUCUGAGAUUUGUUUCAA